AUUGAACGCUGGCGGCAUGCCUUACACAUGCAAGUCGAACGGUAACAGGUCUUCGGAUGCUGACGAGUGGCGAACGGGUGAGUAAUACAUCGGAACGUGCCUAGUAGUGGGGGAUAACUACUCGAAAGAGUGGCUAAUACCGCAUGAGAUCUACGGAUGAAAGCAGGGGAUCGCAAGACCUUGUGCUACUAGAGCGGCCGAUGGCAGAGUAGGUAGUUGGUGGGAUAAAAGCUUACCAAGCCGACGAUCUGUAGCUGGUCUGAGAGGACGAGAAGCCACACUGGGACUGAGACACGGCCCAGACUCCUACGGGAGGCAGCAGUGGGGAAUUUUGGACAAUGGGCGCAAGCCUGAUCCAGCAAUGCCGCGUGCAGGAUGAAGGCCUUCGGGUUGUAAACUGCUUUUGUACGGAACGAAAAGCCCUGGGUUAAUACCCUGGGGUCAUGACGGUACCGUAAGAAUAAGCACCGGCUAACUACGUGCCAGCCGCCGCAGUAA
rnacentral:rRNA from 1 species